rnacentral:tRNA from 1 species
CCCUCGCUAGUAUAGUGGUGAGUAUCCCCGCCUCGUCACGCUGGAGACCGGGUUCGAUUCUUCCGACGGGAGG